rnacentral:rRNA from 1 species
GGUCAAGCGAAUAAGCGCACACGGUGGAUGCCUUGGCGGUCAGAGGCGAUGAAGGACGUGGCAGCCUGCGAAAAGUAUCGGGGAGCUGGCAACAAGCUUUGAUCCGGUAAUGUCCGAAUGGGGAAACCCACCCGCUUGCGGGUAUCCUGCAGUGAAUACAUAGCUGCUGGAAGCGAACCUGGUGAACUGAAAUAUCUAAGUAACCAGAGGAAAAGAAAUCAACCGAGAUUCCGUAAGUAGCGACGAGCGAACGCGGACUAGCCCUUAAGCUGGAUUGGUUCUAGGAAAACGCUCUGGAAAGAGCGGCCAUAGAAGGUGAUAGCCCUGUAUCUGAAAGGGCCAUUCCAGUGAAGACGAGUAGGGCGGGGCACGUGAAACCCUGUCUGAAUAUGGGGGGACCAUCCUCCAAGGCUAAAUACUACUGACCGACCGAUAGUGAACCAGUACCGUGAGGGAAAGGCGAAAAGAACCCCGGAGAGGGGAGUGAAAUAGAACCUGAAACCGUGUGCGUACAAGCAGUAGGAGCUCCGCAAGGAGUGACUGCGUACCUUUUGUAUAAUGGGUCAGCGACUUACUGUUCGUGGCAAGCUUAACCGUAUAGGGGAGGCGAAGGGAAACCGAGUCUGAUAAGGGCGCAUAGUCGCGGGCAGUAGACCCGAAACCGGGUGAUCUAGUCAUGCCCAGGGUGAAGGUGCGGUAACACGCACUGGAGGCCCGAACCCACUCCCGUUGCAAAGGUAGGGGAUGAGGUGUGAUUAGGAGUGAAAAGCUAAUCGAACCCGGAGAUAGCUGGUUCUCCUCGAAAGCUAUUUAGGUAGCGCCUCAUAUGUAUCCUCUCGGGGGUAGAGCACUGUUAUGGCUAGGGGGUCAUCGCGACUUACCAAACCAUUGCAAACUCCGAAUACCGAGACGGACUGUAUGGGAGACACACGGCGGGUGCUAACGUCCGUCGUGAAAAGGGAAACAACCCAGACCCACAGCUAAGGUCCCAAAUUUUGUGCUAAGUGGAAAACCAUGUGGAAAGGCACAGACAGCCAGGAGGUUGGCUUAGAAGCAGCCACCCUUUAAAGAAAGCGUAAUAGCUCACUGGUCGAGUCGGUCUGCGGGGAAGAUUUAACGGGGCUAAGCACAGAACCGAAGCUUGGGGUGCAUACUUUGUAUGCGCGGUAGAGGAGCGUUCCGUAAGCCGUUGAAGGUGGAUUGAGAAGUCUGCUGGAGGUAUCGGAAGUGCGAAUGCUGACAUGAGUAACGAUAAUGCGGGUGAAAAACCCGCACGCCGAAAGCCCAAGGUUUCCUUGCGCAACGUUAAUCGGCGCAGGGUGAGUCGGCCCCUAAGGCGAGGACGAAAGUCGUAGUCGAUGGGAAGCAGGUUAAUAUUCCUGCACCUCGCGUAAGUGCGAUGGAGGGACGGAGAAGGUUAGGUGUACCAGGCGUUGGUUGUCCUGGGGAAAGGCGGUAGGUUUGGAUCUUUGGCAAAUCCGGGAUCCUCUAAGACCGAGCACCGAGACGAGCCUUUAUGGCAAAGUCACUGAUACCACGCUUCCAGGAAAAGCUCCUAAGCUUCAGCUUACGCAGACCGUACCGUAAACCGACACAGGUGGGUAGGAUGAGAAUUCUCAGGCGCUUGAGAGAACUCGGGUGAAGGAACUAGGCAACAUGGCACCGUAACUUCGGGAGAAGGUGCACCCUUUUUGGUGGCUCGUGCGAGCUAUAGCUGAAGAGGGUCGCAGUAACCAGGCCGCUGCGACUGUUUAUCAAAAACACAGCACUCUGCAAACACGAAAGUGGACGUAUAGGGUGUGACGCCUGCCCGGUGCUGGAAGGUUAAUUGAUGGGGUCAGCCGCAAGGCGAAGCUCUUGAUCGAAGCCCCAGUAAACGGCGGCCGUAACUAUAACGGUCCUAAGGUAGCGAAAUUCCUUGUCGGGUAAGUUCCGACCUGCACGAAUGGCGUAACGACAGCGGCGCUGUCUCCACCCGAGACUCAGUGAAAUUGAAAUCGCUGUGAAGAUGCAGCGUUCCCGUGGCAAGACGGAAAGACCCCGUGAACCUUUACUAUAGCUUUACACUGAACGUUGAGUUCGUCUGUGUAGGAUAGGUGGGAGGCUAUGAAACUGUGGCGCCAGCUGCAGUGGAGCCAUCCUUGAAAUACCACCCUGUCGUGCUUGACGUUCUAACCUGGGCCCAUUAUCUGGGUCGGGGACCGUGUAUGGUGGGUAGUUUGACUGGGGCGGUCUCCUCCUAAAGAGUAACGGAGGAGCUCGAAGGUACGCUCAGCGCGGUCGGACAUCGCGCACUGUGUGCAAAGGCAUAAGCGUGCUUGACUGCAAGAUCGACGGAUCAAGCAGGUAGGAAACUAGGACUUAGUGAUCCGGUGGUUCUGUAUGGAAGGGCCAUCGCUCAACGGAUAAAAGGUACUCCGGGGAUAACAGGCUGAUACCGCCCAAGAGUUCAUAUCGACGGCGGUGUUUGGCACCUCGAUGUCGGCUCAUCACAUCCUGGGGCUGUAGUCGGUCCCAAGGGUAUGGCUGUUCGCCAUUUAAAGUGGUACGCGAGCUGGGUUCAGAACGUCGUGAGACAGUUCGGUCCCUAUCUGCCAUGGGCGUUGGAGAUUUGAGAGGGGCUGCUCCUAGUACGAGAGGACCGGAGUGGACGAACCUCUGGUGUUCCGGUUGUCACGCCAGUGGCAUUGCCGGGUAGCUAUGUUCGGAAGCGAUAACCGCUGAAAGCAUCUAAGCGGGAAGCGCGCCUCAAGAUGAGAUCUCCCGGGGCACAAGCCCCCUGAAGGAACCAUGUAGACUACGUGGUUGAUAGGUCAGGUGUGUAAGUACAGCAAUGUAUUGAGCUAACUGAUACUAAUGAUCCGUGCGGCUUGACCAU